AACGAACGCUGGCGGCGUGCCUAACACAUGCAAGUCGAGCGCGAAAAGGGCAACCUGAGUAGAGCGGCGCACGGGUGCGUAACACGUGGGCAAUCUGCCUUAGAGUCGAGGAUAACCUUCCGAAAGGUUGGCUAGUACUCGGUAAGCUUACGGUGUCUUCGGACGCUGUGGGAAAAGUAGGCCUCUGUUUACAAGCUUACGCUCUGAGAUGAGCCCGCGGCCCAUCAGCUAGUUGGCGGUGUAACGGACCACCAAGGCAACGACGGGUAGCUGGUCUGAGAGGACGAUCAGCCACACUGGAACUGAGACACGGUCCAGACUCCUACGGGAGGCAGCAGUGGGGAAUUUUCCACAAUGGGCGAAAGCCUGAUGGAGCAACGCAGCGUGUGUGAUGAAGGUUUUCGGAUCGUAAAGCACUUUCGACCGGGACGAAAAACCUCUGGCUAACAUCCAGGGGCCUGACGGUACCGGGAGAAGAAGCACCGGCUAACUCUGUGCCAGCCGCCGCAGUAA
rnacentral:rRNA from 1 species